GAAAAUCGCUGUCUGGGAUGGCUUGGGGAGUCUUGUUGAGAUAGAGCUGGAGAAAUCAGGAAGAUAUUGUGAUGAUUGAGGGAUGAAGGAAAGCACUGUAUUUCUGUAGAAGAAACUCCUAGAAGUGGAACUGAAUUCCUGGAUUAAUAUGUCCUUUAAAACAAACGUUAUAGGAGGCCUGCAGAAAGGGUACUGAAUGUGGAUACUCGAUCAUGAUUGUCAUGGCAGUUUUUAGAAAGUCAUAAUAAAGCAUAAUUUAUAAUAGCCAAGAUCUGGAAAUAGCCCAAGUGUGCCCAU